AUACUUACCUGGCAGGGGAGAUACCAUGAUCACGAAGGUGGUUUUCCCAGGGCGAGGCUUAUCCAUUGCACUCCGGAUGUGCUGACCCCUGCGAUUUCCCCAAAUGUGGGAAACUCGACUGCAUAAUUUGUUGGUAGUGGGGGACUGCGUUCGCGCUUUCCCCUG
rnacentral:snRNA from 1 species